CAUGAGACUAAAAAAGAACAAGUGUAUACAGUUAAACUGAUUGAAAAAUACAAAUUGAUUAUCUUCUUAGAGGUAGAAUACAAGUUAUGUAGAGUCAUUCAUGUCCUUCAAACUGUUUAUUGAUACCAGAAGAAUAUAAACCUGCUUCAGUCUAGUCUGUAGUCUCUUUUCAGGUCAGAAUUAAUAAUUUCAGCCAAAAAUAAAAAUGACAUUUAAUUUGUAAUUCUUUUCAAUUAAAUGAAAUAGAUUAGAAUGCCUUUAUUGACACUGCACAGCUAUACAAUAACAUUUAGAGCCUCUCCCUGAAUGGUACAUACAGCACAGACACUACAUAGAAUCUUCAAACAGAUUCAAAUUUCCAGCAUUAACUCCUACUAAAAUUAUGGCUAUGAUUUUCUUCUAAACCCAAGUUUGUUCUACACGCAACAUUUAAAAAGUUUGCACUACAAAACAAAAGUAGAGUAAAACGUCUGGAAAGUUAAAAAGCCAGGAAAUUAGUAUUGCUUAGCAAAGUUCUAGUUAAAUUAAAAAAGAGCGGAAAUUACAUUUUUUAAGAAACUUGUGCCUUCUCAGGUUCGCCAGGGCCCAGUGAAGGUAAAUAUCCUUGACCUGUAUAUGAAGGGGCUCUACAUGUGCUCACCUCCUUUAUGGUGUAAACACUGAAGUGGCUAUCACAUCACCUUAUCACACAAUGCUCAGUUUUGGCCUCUUGCUUACUCACGGGCCAAAGAGCAAGUUACUGGCUAACAGAGAGGACAAUAAAAUACAGUCGUUGUUUUUGAAUACAGGAGCUUUAGGUAAUUUCUUUUAUUUUACAGGUCAAACAUAUCUGUUGGUUCAUUGUACUCUACUCUACUCUAAACCACCUUCUGUAAACCAAUUGUAUACUGCUGUCUACACUGCACUAUAUUUCUUGUCCUGUCUAUGCACCACCUGUCUAUACUUUGUACACAUUGCUGUUUUCUGCCUUUUUGGACUUCUGGUUAGACACAAACUGCAUUUCGUUGUCUUUGUACUUGUACUCUGCACAAUGACAAUAAAGUUAAUCUAAUCUAACCUAAUCUCAUCUAAUCUAAAUUGUUGUUUUCAGAUCAGCUUUCAUAGUGUCUGUAAGUGAAUCAAACACAUACUGCAUGCUGAAAUGAAGAUACUCAAUUCAUGUGGCAUCAUGUAGAUUUGCUUGUCAGCACACUCAUAGCAGAUAUGUGGUUGGAGAGUGAUGAUGAGCAACACAAUAUUUGUGGCCUACAGUCAUCAUCUUAGAGGCUGGCCGCCUUUGUUCACACCCAACAACACAGCUGCUAUUUGUAAAGCAGAGAACAUCUGUCAGGCCCAUUAUAGAGCUGUCCAGAACCUUCAUCUCUAACUCCUCUGCUAUUGGAUAACAGCUUCAGAUGACUAGGAUAGUUAUUUUGUAUGUCUAUGCAGUCACAAUUGCAACUAUUAUCGCAAACACAGUUUUUGAGAUGUGUUUUGUUGGAGUGUUGAAUGGAAACACAUACAGUGUAGUCCGCUAACAAUGUAUGUUAAUGCUGUGAUGGGCCAAAUCCUCUCUCUUUAGUUGUUUGACAAGUUUUUGUUUUAUUUUCCAAAACACAUUGCUGACCUGUCUAGAUCUUGGCCUUGGAGCUUCACGGCAGUUUUACUCCGAUCGCAAAGCUGCAUUUCAUUAAAAGUGAAACAUCAAUCUUACCCAACUGUUCACAUCUGUUGGCCCCCAGAUGGCAUGAGGAUGCCUGAGUCUAGUGAGCUCCCUAGAGAACAAUUUCCCUUUUCUCAGGAAUGUAUCUAUCCCUCACAAAACAAGGUGACAUAAUAAAGCAGCACACUGGGAAAGACUAAGCUAACAGGAACUAAACUACAACAGAGCAAUGCAGUUAUGCAGCUAACUCCUAACAGAACAUCUACUCACACAGAAGGCAAAGGGGGAACUUGACAAAAUCGAUCACAAGCCCAUGGCAGUUAUUCUUCAAAAAGAUAACUAUGGAGUGAUUUAAAGGAAGCUCAGUCCACUAUUUUCCUCCAUUUCAUUCUUCACGAUCCUGUUGAAAACCAAGCCAAUUCAAAUUCAGAGGAGUGCAGGCAUUAUACAAUAAAGCACUGUUUUGUUUUUUUCAGCAUGUAUCAGCUGAAGGAGAUCCUGUUCCAUUUUGGCAACGGAUGCUUGCUCAACACCCCCAACUACCCCCAACCUCAAACAGACAGAGCGGCCUACGUGCCUAAGAGGACGCUGACAGUGGAGGCCAGUGCAGAAGAAGACUGUGAAACUAAUAAACACCCUCACCUGCCCACCAACCACUCCUUUCAUUGUCCCCAUCUCCUGGCGCGCCGGGUUUUUGCUCCCUGGAGAACAAUAAUCCGGGGCUGUCUUUUUGGAACAAGAUGAGGGGGAAAUUGGGACCGACCCAGAAAUAGCUAAAUUAUCUGACAAGUCUACUAGGCAACUAAAUCAGUCUGGCUUACAUGGGGUCUUACAAGACUGGCGUGACUUGGAGGCUUAUGAUGACAAUAUAGACCCUUUCAACAAUAAAAACAAAAACAAUGCUUGAACGUUC